GGAUUGUGGCUCAGUGGCAGAGCGCUUGUCUCACGUGUAUGAUGCCCUGGGUUCAAUCCUCAGCACCA
rnacentral:tRNA from 1 species